rnacentral:rRNA from 1 species
CAUGAAGCUGGAAUCGCUAGUAAUCGCGGAUCAGAAUGCCGCGGUGAAUACGUUCCCGGGUCUUGUACACACCGCCCGUCACACCAUGGGAGUCGGAAAUGCCCGAAGCCGGUGGCCCAACCGGAAGGAGGGAGCUGCCGAAGGCAGGUCCGGUGACUGGGGUGAAGUCGUAACAAGGUAGC